ACGUUACCCAUGCGUUGCGAUUUGCGAACGAGCGAGCGAAGCCUUUGCCCUCGAGCGACGCCACACUAGAUCCUUCGCCCUCGCAGCCGCCGCCGAUCCCCUCCCUCAAACGCCGCCGCCCCCGUCACGGCCGCCCCCGCCACCUCCCGUCGCGAGCAGGCGGGAGGAGCCCUGCCCGGCCUCCUCCUUCCCCUCACCUUCUCUCCCUCUCCCAAGGGAGGGAAGGGAAUGGAAGGGAUCCGGCGGCAAGGGGAGGCAGCGGCCAGAACCGCAGCCGCACCGGCGGGCCGCCGUCCCUCGAGAUCGUCCAUGGAGGUCCGACCCGGCUACAACCAUGGACUGAGACGCCCGAAUCCCUAGCUACCCGUGGAGGUCCGACGCCUCAACCUCCAAGGAAAGGACGCGCGCCGGCUGCAGGCCAUCUCCGGCGACCUCCGACCAUGGUUGCUCGGAUCUGGACCAGCUGCUGCUCCUACUGCUUCAGGUGGACGAGGACGAGCCCUCCCUCAUUGCUGCUGCGGCUGCCUACUCCCUCCUCCUACCAUUUGGCCUGGUGUGAGUGGUGGAGUUAAUGAGCCGGGAUGAAGUUCGAGAAGUUGCAUUACGCCGUGUAAAUAUUAAUGAGCUGUGGAAGACAAGUGCACCGAUAUAGUUGUUAGAGAAAUAAGAAGAUGAUGUAGAGUGAUUUAUGGGUAAGUAAUAUAGCGAAUAGAUUUGCACGGGAAGUCAAGUAUAUGCCGAGACUCGAGCAGGUUCAUUGUUAUUGUUGUUCUUGCGUGUCAAAGCUUUUGGCUAGAUCUGUAGGUAUACAUAUGAGUCGAUGCUUAAUUUUUGUCACGUUUCUUACUUACCACUGUUAUUUCUAGCAGACCUAACCUGAUAUAGUAGUUAAUUUUGGCACUAGACACAACAACUUUGACAUUGAUAAUUUCCUCAUAUUUUUAGUAGGACAAUAAACUUGUCUAGCAUUUCAUAGUUGCAGGCUCUGAAAACAAAUGUAUCUGCCCCCUAAAUGAUUAAACGUGUGGUUUCUGAAUUAUGCAUGCUGACAUGCAUUGGUAAUCAUUAUUCAAUGGUAUUCCUUUUCACUGAAAUAAGAACCAUGUAAUGCUUAUGAUUUAAUCUGGUUAUCUAGACAACUAAAUGGGUUAAUGUUAUGCUUAGUAUCUUUUGGCAAAUGUAAUGCAGGGAAGUAAACCACUGUCUUUUGAUAGGGAUUUCUGGAGGUAACAUGCCUCUGAUUGUAUGCACUGAAUUUCAGAUGCUAUCUUGCGUACGACUGAGCAGUCUCGCAUAUACUUCAACCCAGACAUCAACGCAACAAAUAACUUGAUUAUAAGGAACAAAUGUCAUGUGAAGCAAAUAAUUUCCUUAGAAAAAAGAGGGCCAAGAAAAAGACGCAAAAGCAUAGCUUGCUCCUUGAUUCCAGUUUCUGCAGCCACCAUUGAUAAGCAUGGACUGAGCAAAUGAGUAUCAAAAGGAAGUGAAGGAAGCUUCGUCCUCUGGGUUGCUUGCGAUGUAGUUCUCCAGCAGCUUCAGCGCCAAGUUGUAAACUUAUGCAUUUGGGGCUAUUAAAGGGAGGCAAUUGACGUGCAUUUCAAGAGGAGUUAUUCUGUGGCAACCCACAGAGUCAUGUCUGAUCAUUAAAAGAAUUGGCCACGGAUCCCCACGGACGCCGCCGCCGCUGCGGAUCCCCACGGACGACGCAGACGCCGCCGAACAGAGCAGGGCAUGGUCGCGUUGCACUGAUUGGAGGAGACCGUGCCGGCCGUGCCCUGUUUGGAGGAUGAACACAGGUUCACCGCCAUGGCUAUGAGAGGACGCAUUUGUGGAAUCCCCUGCACGCAUCGGACGGAUCGAUUGUUUGAACGGGCGCAAGGAAAGAGAUCUAGGCCUGCUUGAGGGGGUGAGCUGACAUGGGAGACCCGAGCUGCUGUUCAUCUCCUGCUGCUGCUAUAUUGACCUCUACUUGAAGUCAGGAGCCAAAUUGAAGAUCAAAUUCAGGUUAGUAAAAAAGGGCAGUCUUUUUGUUAUUGGUGUACCAUUUUGUAUAUUGUCAACUGUACGCUCCUUGCGAUACUAAAAACUAUAUGUAAUGUAGGGAUUUGUUUCACCAUCAUCAGAAAAACUCCUAGACAUGCCUCCUAAAAGACAUGUCUUUUAUGAUAGUUCUGGAUCUGAAUGAGACCCUUUUAUACUCAGAUUGGAAGGUGAUCUUGUGUUUUCUGCGAA